GCACUUUGGCAGCACAUAUACUAAAAAUUGGGACGAUACAGAGAAGAUUAGCAUGGCCCCUGCCCAAGGAUGGCAAUGGUAAAUCAUGAAGCAUUCCAUAUUUUA